UACGGAGGGUGCAAGCGUUAUCCGGAUUCACUGGGUUUAAAGGGCGCGUAGGUGGCUUAGUAAGUCAGUGGUGAAAUCUCCGGGCUUAACCCGGAAACUGCCAUUGAUACUAUUAGUCUUGAAUACCGUGGAGGUCAGCGGAAUAUGUCAUGUAGCGGUGAAAUGCGUAGAUAUGACAUAGAACACCAAUUGCGAAGGCAGCUGGCUACACGAGCAUUGACACUCAGGCACGAAAGCGUGGGGAGCAAACAGG
rnacentral:rRNA from 1 species